GCCUGGGUGGCUUGGUGAGUUGAGCGUCUGACUUUGGCUCAGGUCAUGAUCUUGCGGUCUGUGGGUUCGAGCUCCACAUCGGGCC
rnacentral:tRNA from 1 species